AUGGGUAUGUCUCCAUAUAAAAUAGUUUAUGGAAAAGCAUGUCACUUACCUCUCGAACUUGAACAUAAAGCAUAUUGGGCCAUUAAAGAGCUCAAUUAUGAUUUCAAACUUGCCGGUGAGAAGAGGUUAUUUGACAUUAGCUCACUUGAUGAAUGGAGAACCCAAUCCUACGAGAAUGCCAAGCUGUUCAAAGAAAAAGUUAAAAGAUGGCAUGACAAAAGGAUACAAAAGCAUGAGUAUGUAGGUGAUUAUGUGUUGCUAUUCAACUCUCGUUUAAGAUUUUUUGCAGGAAAACUUCUCUCUAAAUGGGAAGGCCCUUACGUUAUCGAGGAGGUCUAUCGUUCUAGUGCCAUAAAAAUCAACAACUUCGAAGGCACAAAUCCGAGGGUGGUGAACGGUCAAAGAAUCAAACAUUAUAUCUCAGGUAACCCGAUAAAUGUUGAAAUUAAUAUUAUUGAAACCGUAACCCCGGAGGAAUACAUAAGAGACACUUUUCGGAGCGUUUCAGACUCCGAAAAGGAAUAG
rnacentral:rRNA from 1 species